rnacentral:rRNA from 1 species
ACGAACGCUGGCGGCGUGCUUAACACAUGCAAGUCGAACGGUGAAGCGCCUUCCUUUUUGGUGGGUGUGGAUGAGUGGCGAACGGGUGAGUAACACGUGAGUAACCUGCCCCCUUCUUCUGGAUAACCGCAUGAAAGUGUGGCUAAUACGGGAUAUUCUGGGUCUGUCGCAUGAUGGGUCUGGGAAAGAUAUUGUUUCGGUGGGGGAUGGGCUCGCGGCCUAUCAGCUUGUUGGUGGGGUGAUGGCCUACCAAGGCGGUGACGGGUAGCCGGCCUGAGAGGGUGGACGGUCACACUGGGACUGAGACACGGCCCAGACUACUACGGGAGGCAGCAGUGGGGAAUAUUGCACAAUGGGCGCAAGCCUGAUGCAGCGACGCCGCGUGAGGGAUGGAGGCCUUCGGGUUGUGAACCUCUUUCGCCAGUGAAGCAGGCCUGCCUCGUUUGUGGGUGGGUUGACGGUAGCUGGAUAAGAAGCGCCGGCUAACUACGUG